rnacentral:rRNA from 1 species
GUCCCUACGGGGCGCAGCAGUGGGGAAUAUUGCACAAUGGGGGAAACCCUGAUGCAGCAACGCCGCGUGAGUGAAGAAGGUUUUCGGAUUGUAAAGCUCUGUUAGCAGGGAAGAGGAAGGACGGUACCUGCAGAGGAAGCCACGGCUAACUACGUGCCAGCAGCCGCGGUAAUACGGAAGGUCCGGGCGUUAUCCGGAUUUAUUGGGUUUAAAGGGAGCGUAGGCCGGCUUUUAAGUCAGCUGUGAAAGUCCGCGGCUCAACCGUGGAAUUGCAGUUGAAACUGGAGGCCUUGAGUGCACACAGG